rnacentral:rRNA from 1 species
CCUACGGGAGGCUGCAGUGGGGAAUAUUGCGCAAUGGGCGAAAGCCUGACGCAGCGACGCCGCGUGAGGGAUGAAGGUCUUCGGAUCGUAAACCUCUGUCAGCAGGGAAGAACGGUCACUGUGCUAAUCAGCAGUGAAUUGACGGUACCUGCAAAGGAAGCACCGCCAAACUCCGUGCCAGCAGCCGCGGUAAUACGGAGGGUGCGGGCGUUAAUGGGAAUACUGGGGGUAAAGCGCUCGUAGGCGGUAUGUCAAGUCAAGGGUGAAAUCCCCGCGCUCAACGUGGGAACUGCCUUUGAAACUGGCAAACUGGAGUGUGUGAGAGGAUAGUGGAAUGCCAGGUGUAGGAGUGAAAUCCGUAGAGAUCUGGAGGAACAUCAGUGGCGAAGGCGACUAUCUGGCACAUAACUGACGCUGAGGAGCGAAAGCGUGGGUAGCAAACAGGAUUAGAUACCCCUGUAGUC